rnacentral:rRNA from 1 species
AUCCAGAUCUGAGUUUGAUCCUGGCUCAGGAUGAACGCUGGCGGCGUGCCUAAUACAUGCAAGUCGAGCGAGGUUCUUCGGAACCUAGCGGCGGACGGGUGAGUAACACGUGGGUAACCUGCCUGUAAGACUGGGAUAACUUCGGGAAACCGAAGCUAAUACCGGAUACUUUCGAGCAUCGCAUGAUGCUUGAUGGAAAGACGGCUUCGGCUGUCACUUACAGAUGGACCCGCGUCGCAUUAGCUAGUUGGUGAGGUAACGGCUCACCAAGGCGACGAUGCGUAGCCGACCUGAGAGGGUGAUCGGCCACACUGGGACUGAGACACGGCCCAGACUCCUACGGGAGGCAGCAGUAGGGAAUCUUCGGCAAUGGGCGAAAGCCUGACCGAGCAACGCCGCGUGAGCGAUGAAGGCCUUCGGGUCGUAAAGCUCUGUUGUUAAGGAAGAACAAGUACGAGAGUAACUGCUCGUACCUUGACGGUACUUAACGAGAAAGCCACGGCUAACUACGUGCCAGCAGCCGCGGUAAUACGUAGGUGGCAAGCGUUAUCCGGAAUUAUUGGGCGUAAAGCGCGCGCAGGCGGUUUCUUAAGUCUGAUGUGAAAGCCCACGGCUCAACCGUGGAGGGUCAUUGGAAACUGGGGAACUUGAGUGCAGAAGAGGAAAGCGGAAUUCCACGUGUAGCGGUGAAAUGCGUAGAGAUGUGGAGGAACACCAGUGGCGAAGGCGGCUUUCUGGUCUG